CGGCCUGUGGCGCUGGUGGGGGGGGGCGCCGGGUGCCGAGUUGCCGGUGAGUGGAGGGGGGUUUCCAGCCCGGUGUGGGCCCGUGCCGCUCCGGGGGACGGUGUGGAGGCGCUGCGGUAGCAGUUUUGGUGACCCCGAUGGGACCCUGCUUCUAGACCGACAGAUCCGUGGGAUUAUGGGACCUCCAGCCAGUACCGAGGGAUUCUUGGGGAGAACCUCUAAUCCCUGGACCAAAGAGCUUGAAGUAAGACCCCUGGAUAUAAACCCCAAAAGGGACAAGAUACCUCGAGGAAAUAGAAGAUGCAGUGAUUCCCAUCGUUUGGGCAGGAGGAGUUCCAGGAAGGUCUAAGGGAGGAACCAGCAAGAAUUAAUCUAAAACCAGAAUCGUUAUGGCUCAAGAUGUGUCAGCUACUCUCUUCCCUCUUAUGGUUAUGAAACAGAUCUACCACUGAAUAUGGAGACUUGAUGCUGCUUCACAAGGAUUUGAAUCAUGCAAUUUGGAAGACUUGCAGAAGAAAUGACACCUGGCACUGGGUGAUGGAAGCUAUAAGCUGUGCAAGGCUGCCCUGGACAAAGGAUACCUGUGCCUCUGGUGUGAAAAGCAAUUUCACCUGUUGCUGAUGUUGGUGAAGACAAGGCCUUCCUAAUUGAAGGCUUCCAAAGUGUUUCUCAUUGCAAUGGCCAGUGUGGUGAAGCUGUGAAGUGGUGUGGUUGGUAGUGCUACCAGCAAAAAUUUGAGAAUGGGAGAACUGCUGGCUACUAGGUGACAGAUGCUUCUUACUUGGUAAGCUGCUUACUUCUCAGUUGCCAUAAGAUUUGUUUACUCCUUAAAAAUGUUAACUGCUUUCUGUAACUGAAAAGAAAUAGUAUGGAACAGUUGAAGUAUGUAACAACUACGGACUGCUUAAGUUUCUACUUGAUAAGAAAGAAUGUGUGGUAACCUGGCAGUGCAAAGCUCGUGCUGACCAAAGCCAGUACAAUUAUUUGCUAUUUUAACUUUUUGCUGGUUAAAUUAAGUAGUGGGCUUUUGCAGGGAGUAGCACUGAUCUUCAGUAGUUGGAAGUACUGUGGUAAAUUAUUUGUCGUAAUGGCUGGAUUAGAGCUUUUAUGUGAUGUGAAUGAAGAUAUCGUUGGGGGUAAGGUCUGAAAUGCUGAGGUCAGGUCCUCAUCUAAGGAGGAACAAAAGUAACAAAACAUUAAGCUUCUCUAAGCAUGUACUGUUUGUGAUGAUUAAUUCUAAGCAAUGGGAAUCUCUCUGAAAGAGGCUGAGGAGGACUCUUGUGCUGAAACAGUACCCACUUUUGAACUAACUCUUGAAGCACUGCCAAGGGGUAGUGUGUUAAUAAAAUUUCACUUGUUACAGAGUGAAGCUUGUGGGGAGUUUGUGUGUUACGUCUGAGGUAAGUGUAGAGUAGAUGGUGUUUGGCAAUUACUGGAAUAUUGUCUUUGUGCUAAAUGCCUAGAUAAUGGUGUCUAAAAUUAGUCCUAUAAUAGCUCUGCCUUGUCUUCCCUUUAUUGUGUUCUGAUUCUCCCACUCAGCUACUGUGGGGAUAAACAUGAUGUGCUUGAAGCAAGAACGCACUUCUACGUAGUUCUCAAUUUGACUUGAAAAGGAAGGGCUCUUUCUGAGCAGACACCCUGACAGUUCCUGAACUGUAGUCAGUGGUAAACUUUACUAUGUAGAGUUCUGUAUAUAUGAACAGAAGAUGUGACCUCAGUGACUCUAAAAACUCGGUUUUCAUUGCUGGAUGUCUUCACACAGUGGAAAUAGUGAAGGAGCUGAAUCAGUGGAGACCACUUAGCCAGUACACUGUUGAUAAUGUAGUACAGCAGAAUGUACAGCAGCAAACAUGACUCAUAACUCAUAUCUGUAUCUGGCUAUUCUGUGAACCUACACUAUAACACUGCAUUCUUGAAU